UCCCUUUGUAGGAGAUUAAAGAGCUGGAGGAGUUCAGAGCCAAAAACCAACGUCUGCAAAAGCUGAGGGUCGGCCAGUUAAUUCUCUACUCGUCGGUCCUCUACCUGCUGAUCUCUCUGGUGGUUUACUGCCUCUACCUGCCGGAACAAUGGUUCCAGAGAAUAUUCAUGGCCGUGCCUUUCUUCAUUUACCCCGUGCUAGUGUGGUUCAUCAGGAGGUUGUUGGUCUUUCUCUUUUCCAAACGCACUGAGAGGAACAGUAAGUUGUCUUUACCUCUUCACCUGUUCAUCGAUCCGAACAGCUAACGCACAUAUCAUCUCUUUUUCAAGCUCUUGUUCAUUUUGAAGCCCAACCAAAUAACCCUUUGACUGUGAAAACGACUAGCAUUAGUUGCAUUUACAAUGAAUUUUCUACCACCUUAACCUGUAGUGGACUCAAUAGAUAUUCCAUCCAUGCGUUCUUUACAGGAGUAAACUAUGCAGCAAUUUUAUUUCAGUCAGACAACUCACG